rnacentral:ncRNA from 1 species
AAGAAAGCAGCCGGGUGUUCGACAUUUAGUCUUGUGGUCCUGAAGCAGGGUCUGGCUGGCAUAGCUGGACAGACCAUGUGGACGGCCUCAAAACAGACUGUCGAUCUGAGAAAUACCGGUGAACUUGAUCUGGAUAAUACCAGCGAAAGGACAUGCUUCUUGCUCCCCC